GCCACGGGGAGGCUCCCUCUUUAGAUGAUCCUGAAGCUGAUUGUCUCCCCUGCCAUGUUGCUGAAUGACUGGAUCUAGCUGCCCUCUCCUGUAGUCGGACUUUCGAGCGGACUUGGACCUUUUCUUAUGAUCUUUAUGCUGUGCUGCCAGUCUUGAUAGAGCUCUCUUCUUCACUUCAGGAGCUCCAAUACCAACAUCUGGUCAUCUGGCGUCAUCUGAAGAUGAUGUAUCUGGUUCGAACUGAGGAACAUUGAGCGCACCCACCAGUUGUCACCGUCAUCUCCAGAGCACACCUCGGAGUGCUGACUACACUUGGAACAGUCCCCUGAAUAGCACGACACGGUGGCAUCUAACACAUCAGGGUCCUGUGUGAAAAGUCCUG